rnacentral:SRP_RNA from 1 species
ACUGGAUAUCCAGUUGGUACAUAUCUGUAAUCUCACUUUCUUAGGAGACCUAGACUGAUGGCUCUCCUGAGCUUAAGAAUUUGAGCUGCAGUGGACUUUGUCAAAAAGUUUUUUGUACUGUUUGCUAUCAAUAUGGUGAUCUUCUAAGAGCAGAUGGCCACCAGGUUGCCUAAGAAGGGGAAAAUUGGCCCAGGUCAGAAACAGAUCAGGUUAAAGAUUCUAUGAUGAUCUAUAGUGGGAUCAGACCCAUGAGUAGCCUCUACACUUUUAACCUGGACAAGAUAGAGAGAUCUAGUGUU